UUGUCCCGGCCGCCUUCCAGCGCCGCAGGCUGAGGGAACGGCAGCGGGAUCGGGAUCAGCGGCUGUGAGGGGGCGCGGGGGCUGCAGGCGCUCUGGGUCUUCCUGCCCGCCUCGGGUCCUGCCGCACUCUUGUGCUUGUUCUUCCCCGGAGAUCUCGAGGUGUUGCGCACACGCCGCCUCUGGAGGGUAGGAAGUGCCUUUGACAAAACCACUUGGAAUGGUGUAUCCAUUAACUAAGAAGAACAAGAGCCCCAGUUGCUGGAGUGACGAAAGAAAAUUAGUGGUACCACAGAUGUUCUUCUGAGGCCAGGGAAGGAGAAACAGCACUCUAAGCAGGGCCUAACCAUCACCAACAAGGUGAGGAGAAGUUCACACCUCCUCUGGCCAAGCCCUGAGCUUCCUGCUGAAGGUGGCACACCAGCAAGAGCUGCAUUCCAGAAUUUGGAAAUUCAGCCAAUAUGGACAAAAGUAUCGACGUUUAUGUCUAUCUUUAGUUUUUGCAUUUCAGUAGUUACAAUUUCACUGAAAAUUCUUUGAGAUCUUCAGCACAUAGAAGAUUAGAAUCAGUAUCAUAAUGAAGAGUAAUUAAGGCCUCUCCUAGAUACCAGAAGGCAAUCAAGGAAAGCUCUUUUCUUUCUUUCCAAGUCUCAUCUGGUGCUAUCAAGAUUAAAUGAAGCGCAACUCGUGGUUAAUGAAGUUUUUACUAUUCUACUAAAAUAAAAUUUAGUCUCUUAAAAUGC